GUCAAUUUUUUCUCAUAUCAGAUUUCAGAAAUUAAAAAGAAUUAUUCUUCAAAUAUUAUUUUUUUUUCAAAUUUCUAAUAUUGAAAAAUUUCAAGAAGUAAUCUUUAAUUGCACAGUAUGGCGCAUUAGAUUUGUAAAAUCUUUGACCACAUUUAUUUAUUUGUUAUGCCGAAUCUAACCAUGUAUUUAGAUUUUUAAUUUUGGGUCCAGUUUUCAAAUUGGUCUACAUUAAGGUCCAAAGGGUCCAAAAUUAAACUUUGUUUGAUUUUAACAAAAAUUGAAUAAUGGGGUUCUUUGAUAUGCUGAAUCUAAACAUGUAUUUAGAUUUUUGAUUUUUGGCCCAGUUUUCAAGUUGGUCCAAAUUGGGGUCCAAAAUUAAACUUUGUUUGAUUGCAACAAAAAUUGAAUAUAUGGGGUUCUUUGAUAUGCUGAAUCUAACCAUGUAUUUAGAUUUUUUAUUUGUGGACCCUGCUAUCAAAUUGGUUCAUAUUGAGGUCAAAAGGGUCCAAAAUUAAACUUCGUUUGAUUUCAUCAAAAAUUGAAUUAUUGGGGUUCUUUGAUAUGCCGAAUCUAACUGUGUUUUUAGAUUUUUAAUUUUGGGUCCUGUUUUUUAAAUUGUUCUACAUUAAGGUCCAAAGGGUCCAAAAUUAAACUUAGUUUGAUUUUAACAAAAUUUGAAUAUAUAGGGUUCUUUGAUAUGCUGAAUCUAAACAUGUGUUUAGAUUUUUGAUUAUGGGCCCAGUUUUCAAGUUGGUCCAAGUUGGGGUCCAAAAUUAAACUUUGUUUGAUUUCAGCAAAAAUUGUAUAUAUGGGGUUUUUUGAUAUGCUGAAUCUAACCAUGUAUUUAGAUUUUUUAUUUGUGGACCCCGCUAUCAAAUUGGUUCAUAUUGAGGUCAAAAGGGUCCAAAAUUAAACUUUGUUUGAUUUCAUUAAAAAUUGAAUUAUUGGGGUUUUUUUGAUAUGCCAAAUCUAACUGUGUUUUUAGAUUUUUAAUUUUGGGUCCUGUUUUUCAAAUUGGUCUACAUUAAGGUCCAAAGGGUCCAAAAUUAAACUUACUUUGAUUUUAACAAAAAUUGAAUUCUUGGGGUUCUUUGAUAUGCUGAAUCUAAACAUGUG